AUGACUCAUCGUUAUCUUAUUAAUGAAGCCAGGGCUUCAUUAAUAAGCACAGCCCUGUGGUUAUUGCCUUCCCAAGGGCACUGGUUUGGAGGCAAGACACGGGGAUGGGUGUUUGCUGGUGAGGAGCAGGAGGCUGAGAGAAAAAUCUGUGAGACAAUCUGUUUCCUGUUCGGAGCAGCGACCGAUACAAGUCCCUGCCUUAAUGGACCGGCACCUUGGGGAUGCGGUGGCUCUGCCCCUGCCCUGCGGCUGGAUGAGGUUAGAGGUGGGGAAAAGGGAUGGGGAAUUGGGAUGGGGGAGAGGGAUGGGAAGCAGCUGCAGAAGGAUGGCUGCCGGCUUCCCGUUGGCUUUUAUUUUCCCCUUCUUAUUUUUUUUUUCUUCUCUGUUCUUUUUAAUCAAAACUUCAAAUUGGACUCAAAGCAGCUAUUUAUAAACCUGUCAGGGGAGGCUGGCAUUUCUCUAUCAGGUUGCUAUUGAAUGGUUGCUAACGGCUCUUCAAUGGAGGCAAGGAGCGGGCGGCGGAGCUGGGGCUGCUGAAUCCCCCCUGAGCCCCACGAACACGAGGGGCCGCGGCUGCGGGACCCCCAGGACCUGCGGGACCCCCGUGUUUGCCCGUGAUCUCAUUGGGGCUGACACCCAGCCGUUACUGCUAGCCCACCCCAGCGGUAUCGGGUUUGGGGCAGGAGGGCUGCGGGUUGCAGCUGAGCAGCGGGGACCUGGCUCUUCCUCCCCACCGAGGUUUACACCUGGGAAAUGCACGAGAGGGAAGGGAACGGCUCAGCCUGGGCAUGGGGCGAGCAGCGGCCGUGGCCAGGGCACCCCGGGGGGCAGCAGGGGGACCCCAACCCUCUCCCCUCGCCCCUCCCGGCCACCACCCCGCGCAGCAGAAAUGGCUGAAGUGUCCUGUCCGGCCCUGCGUGGGGAAAUGAUUUAGACAGUUGUAUUAAAAUGCAAAUUUCUGCCUGGCUUGCUAGUUUAUCAUCUGACUUGUUAUACAAUUUGCCAGUUAUAGAAGAAAAAUUACCAUAAUGGGCCCCCGGGGAACGGUUGUAAAAAGGAUACCAAACAUUACUUAUCAUCCCAUUCCGCUACAAUUAUCUGGUGCUUUUCUUCUUCCCCCCAACCCCAAGGAAAAUUAAACCAUCAAUAGGAGCCAGGGAGACGCGGGGAGCGAGCGUGGCAGCCAGGCAGACGGCUGCGUGGUGCUGUGCCCGCCCCGGAGCCUGCCCGCCACCUCUCGCUGUGUGCCCCAAAUAAACCUUGUUAAUUGUCCA
rnacentral:lncRNA from 1 species